UGAAUGUCGAAAAGCCAGGGCAUUGUCUAUGUUUCGUAAAUAGUUGAAACUUGUGUAUGUAAUACAGGUAUUAAUAAAUAUGCUAGCUACGACUGAAGACUAUUCAGUAUUCUCUUUUUCUCUCUUGAAUUUAUCUACACCCAUUUUAAAAUAUCUCUAUUCUAGAUAUGUCAUGCACACAUAAUUAUUGCUACCAUGUAAUUAUUUUAGGAAAUAAGAACAUAUUCUCACUCUAUUUCAUAUGACGUCCAAUAACUACGAUGGACAUUAAUCAUCAAAAGAAAAUCAAUUUAUUACAUUCGUCGGCUAAAAAUAGUAUUGGUAUUUGUGUCUAUUUCUGUAUUUUGAAAUGGUUUUGACGUUUUGUAUCAGGACUAUAGAUAAAUGUGUAUGCAUUUGCAUCGUACUUUCGAAAUAUUAAACGUUUGAAUCUGCUAAAGGUGGCCGGGAAAGUGGGAUGAAUAUAUAUGUACCGUUGGAUCGUGCUAACGUCAUGUGCUAUUAAACAAAAUAGGAAGAACAUAACAUUACGUAAUUCAUGGAGAGUGAGCGAGCAAAAUAGCACAUCUUAAAUGUAAAGUCUAGGUACACCGCCUUGUUACGUCAACGAAUACUUCUAAGGCGCCACGUGACUUGUUAUGCAAUCACAUUCACAAUACACGCUUCACGCUUUUUCCUUUGAAUGGAGAAUUCUUGAAACUGUCACCGGCGUAUCCAGUCAUUUAUAAAUGUACUGUGAAAUUUUUUAUGUUUCUCUUCACUUUCAAAACACAGUAGAUUUCUAAGUAAAUUAAUUUAUAAUGAUUGUAAUCGGAGAUCUACAAAACAUGCCUAAAACUUUUCGGCCUUGCUACGCAACUAGGAAUUACUGAAAAGAAAUACGUCAUCCAAUUGAUAUAAUAUGUUUUAGACGAUAGUUUAAAUUUGAAGAAAGAAGUUUCAUAUCAAUGUUGAUGAAGUAAUUUGUGAGUGUUCACUUAAAAUAGAAAUGGAGAGGCAGCAGCUCCUAGCAUUAGUAAGUCUAGUAAAGGAUAUAUAUUUCAUUCUCUCGAAGAAGUUCAACAAACUUGAGCCAAAUUAAAGUUGCAUCUUGCGUAUGUAAAUUAUGAAAAAACCAUAUGAGGUAGCCACAUAACAUAAAUUUUUACAUGAACGACAUAUGUAGGAAUAAAGAGUGAUUUUCAGAUUUUGUCGUGUAAGCUUGAUUGCACAUCAGAUACAAGGAUUUUUAACUACAUAGAACUACUGGAGCAUUUCUCAUGAGCAGUUUUAUAGAAAAGAACAAUUUAUGAGUGUUAGUAUGAGCACCAAUCGACGUGAUGGUGCAAGAGAAUUGUUACAUUCAAGAAUAUGAGAGAGCGAGUUUUUCUUAACAAAUGCGAGUUCAAUGUAAACAAAAGAUGUUUGGCUCUGGGAUUUGAGAAGCAAGCAUUUGUCAUUUUUAAUUAGCACUUCAACUUUACGAAUACGAUAACAAGCAUUUUAAAUUCCUGGAGAACUAAAAUCUCUUGUAUUUAAGAGCAAUAUAUACACUAUAAAAUAUUAAUUAAAAUCUCUUGUAUUUAAGAGCAAUAUAUACACUAUAAAAUAUUAA